CUUAAAAGACACACCCUCGUCCACUUACCCUUGCCUUAUACCCUUACGGGAAACACCGUCGCCAUCUUGGUGGGUGGUCCAAAUGAUUAGCCAAGCAAGGGACGUUUGCAACGUAAGCCCCUCAGCCCUCGUUUUUAGUCGGCUUUGCGAGUGAACAAUUAUGUUCACUCCGGGGCCUGAAACUCCCCAUAAUUAAAUUCGCGACGAUUGUACAAGUGGCGUCACUACAGUCCCUGGUUCAAAUCCAGGCUGUAUCACAUCCAGCCGUGAUUGGGAGUCCCAUAGGGCGGCGCACAAUUGGCCCAGCGUCGUCUGGGUUAGGCCGUCAUUGUAAAUAAUACUUUUUUCUUAACUGACUUGCCUAGUUGGAUCAAGGUUAAAUACAUUUUUUUUUAAAGUCCGUGAAAACUUAAAAACAACAUCAAUGGAGAAGUCAACAUACAAGUGGUGGGCGAAAACAGUUGGGUGCUGUGGAAUCAGUGAAGAUUGGUGGACCGGAAACCCAGUGACAACACUCGGGUCUGCAGCUGACAUUUUCCGUUGGGAAAGAGAAAUGGCCCUGUAUUUGCCAGAAAAUGUUGCUCAUCCAUCAUCGCAGAAGAGGAAUGGCAGAAGAGGUAGAUCCAGACACAUUCAACAUGGCAGACGAAGUUCCAGGCGCCUCGGCCACUGAAGAUUGUAGGAGGCUGCUGUCUACACCGCUGCGGAAUGUUCUCACUGAGGUGCAUCUUGAGGAAACAGCGCCGUUGAAGGUUCUACAAAAUACCUGCAACAGGUAUUCAGCAUCCCAGCUGUCUGGUAAAGUACUUAGAAUGGAAACAGGACUUCCAGACAAAGACAUGUUCAACAUCGUUGUUGAAUACUUGGAAUGUUAAAAGGACUGCGUUGUCUACUUUGCCAAGUGGAGGGUGAAGAUGCUGUCCUUUGAGGAUCAAGUGUUUAUGGCUCUUAUGAAGUUGCAUCACAGCUACACCAACUUGCACCUGACUCAACUAUUCUGUUGUAGUGCAAUCACUGUCAGCAAUGUUACCAUUGCUGACACGUGAUCCACAAGCUUUUUUUCAUUAGCAUCAUGAAGACUUCCAAGUCGGGAGAAGAACCAAACGCGCUUGCGUCUUUUCAGGGGUCCAGAGGGAACUGCAGGAUGGUCAUUGACUGUACUGACAUGUAAGUUGCUACUCCAAGUCAGAUGGAUCUGCAGAAGCAUACCUAAUCUGUGUACCAUUCAAUGCACUCCUUCUAGCUAACUUAAUACAGUGAUAUCAUACUGCAGUUAUCUAUCGGACAAUGCCAGAAGUCGCGGUUUGUCCAGAAUGUCCAGAAGUCGCGGUUUGAGAACAUUUUCAUGUCUUCAUGUCUGGAGACAUGAUUUUUGUCAGACAAAGGCUUCUUUUUUUUACCUGUUUUUUUCUCCCCAAUUUCGUGGUAUCCAACUGGUAGUAGUUACAGUCUUGUCUCAUCGGUGCAACUCCUGCACGGACUCGGGAGAGGCGAAGAUCGAGAGACAUGCGUCCUCCGAAACCCAACCCAACCAAGCCGCACUGCUUCUUGACACAACACGCAUCCAACCCGGAAGCUAGCCGCACCAAUGUGUCUUGAGCUUGACGCGUGCAGCAAUUACUGUGAACAUUCCUCCAUUCCUGAACCACGAAGGUUCACAGAGCGUGAGAUGCGUCUCACAAAAAACAUAGUGAGAAACGGGAUCCAUGUUAACAGGGCAAAUGCUUGACUAAAAUAUGUAAAAAUCCUGAAAUUCAUCCCACCUUGUCUGCGUUAUAGUAAUAUGCUGGUGCAGACUUGCUGUGCACUUGUUAACCUCCAAAACACACUCAUCAGAGAAGUAGCUGUUGGUUGGGAAACGAGAACAACGAGGCAGGAGGGUUUGGUGUUGAGGGACGAUUUGUCACAUUGUCGAAGGAGUGCCUCCCUCAGACCAUCCGGUGCAUGGACAUCCUGUGCCAGUGUGAUGUGGUCGUGGAGACUACAGUACAUCGAGCCUGUGGACGAACAAACGUGACAUGCGGAACAUCAGGCUCACCCCACGAGAAGUAUGAUCAAUGCCACCCUCAGCAAGGAGAAGUGAUGUCUCUCCCAUCCUGCAUUUACCAGAAACUGAAGCUCCACACAACAAAGGGGAAAUGAGGUGUGGCUUGCGGAACAUCCUGCUCACCCCAUGAGAAGCAGAGCAUGAUCAACGCCACUUGCAGAAAGGAGAUCUUCUGGAAUGGAUGUACUCUCACUCUGGGGGUAGAGGCAGGGAUGACUGGGUUCUUCAGCAAGUAAGACACGGGGUAAGAAAUAAUUUUAACAUCACAGAUAUAAAUUCCCAAUGUGCCCAUGAUAAAGUUAACUACAUUACUUUAGUUGGCUGCUUUCAGCAAAAAUUGUAUGUAAUGUAACCUAUUCUGGGAGACUAGUGUAUGUAUGUACAAUAUUUUUGGACCAUUGGCUUCCCUGAAAACGGAGACUGACAGGAGGAUCAAUAGGAGUCUGCCAGAGGUCGUCACGCUGGAUGGUGAUGGAGGUUUUGGUGGUCCACACAACGAAGAAGCAGGUGUCCCUUCAAGUGACGUGGAGUUGACCUUGGACCAAGUGCCAGUAAGGAUGGUUCUUCACGGAGGCUGUAAGACCCUUUCUUCUGGAUAUAGAAAUCCUUCAACUUCACUGCCUCUUCAAUGGUAAGGUCCCCUUGCACCAUAGGGGCAUUUGACCUCCACCAAUGCUGUGGUGCCCACCAGACCAUCUGGUGAGGCACCCAGAAUCCCAGAACCCGUGACCCAAAGCCCAGACUCCUGCACAUCCAUCCCUGUAGCCAUUUUUUUGGAAUAAAAAGAUAAAUAAAAAAUUAUCCCCUUUUCUCCCCAAUUUUCGUCGUAUCCAAUCGCUAGUAAUUACUAUCUUGUCUCAUCGCUACAACUCCCGUACGGGCUCGGGAGAGACGAAGGUCGAAAGCCACGCGUCCUCCGAAGCACAACGCAACCACUGCUUCUUAACACAGCGCGCCUCCAACCCGGAAGCCAGCCGCACCAAUGUGUCGGAGGAAACACCGUGCACCUGGCCCCCUUGGUUAGCGCGCACUGCGCCCGGCCCGCCACAGGAGUCGCUGGAGCGCGAUGAGACAAGGAUAUCCCUACCGGCCAAACCCUCCCUAACCCGGACGACGCUAGCCCAAUUGUGCGUUGCCCCACGGACCCCCCGGUCGCGGCCGGCUGCGACAGAGCCUGGGCGCAAACCCAGAGACUCUGGUGGCGCAGCUAGCACUGCGAUGCAGUGCCCUAGACCACUGCGCCACCCGGGAGGCCCCCUGUAGCCAUUUUGAAUGCCUUGAUGCCCUCCUCUUUAUCUGUGCCCCACUUUACACACAACACCCCAUCCAACGACUGUGAACACCUUGAAAUGUAUGCAUUUUAAGAAAUGUGAUUUAAAAAUUGUUUGAUUUGAUUGAUGACUACAGCUGUAGAAUAUUUAAUAAACUGUAAAGUGCAGUUUUUCCAUAAACUUUUAAUUGAUAACUUGGGAUUUUGUCACUUGACAAAUCAAUCAUACAGUGGGAAGGAUCCUAUAAGUCAAGACUGUGUGGAUGCAUGUACCUCUCCGAAUAAAUAAAUACAAUAAAGUCUGUCUAAACAAAGUCAAUUCUGAAUGUCAAUUAGUUUUGGUUUAAUUCUCAUCAAUGACAACAUUCUAGAACUGAGUUAUCACUAAUCGAAGUCUGGUAUCCGGGGUAAUCUGGUUAUUGACUAUAUGAUAAAGUGUCUGUUUCCUUAUAGAAUGUUGACAGCUGUAUAGAACAAAUUGUAUUGCUAUGAUGCUCAAACUUAAUAGGUUGCAUGUUCAAAUCCAGCGAUAGAUUUUUGUUUUAAGCCUAUCCCAAACCUUAACCAUUGCGGUAAUGCCUAACCUUAAGUUUUCAGAGUUAAUGACUGAACUUAACCUUAAACACUUCAAAAUUUGACUUUUGAGAAACAUGGAUGAACAUCUACUUCUAACUUGAGACUGUGAGAGCCUGUUGGCUUUUUUUUGCAUGUGACUACUCAUGUUUGUUAAUAACAAAAACAUAAAUAAAUGUGCACAAUGAGCACUUGUUGUCUUUCAAAUACACCAUUAGAGUUGUUGGUUAGCUAGUUAGUGAAUUUUACAUGGAGAAAAUUGGGCUUCUGAAAUGAAAAUGGAUGGCCCUCCCUUCAGCAAAAUAUAUUUGACCUAAAACCUCCCUGAAUGCUUGGGGGGAAAAAAAGUGACCGUCCCCGAUACCCAAAAUAUUAAUUAAAACAAAGUUAAUAGCAGAGAACAUUUCUACCGUUUACCCUCACUUCUUGGACAGACCAGAGCCUUCGUCCUGUAAGCAUUACAUGGCAACGCAGGAAAUUUGAUCGCGCAGAGGGCUGCGGGUCAGAAGCUUGUGUGUUCGCAGACCACCAUGGACAAGAGUAGGGUUGGAAAGAUCUCCUUUAUAGUUAAAAGCAUUGCAUUCAUCUGUCACCAUAUCUGCAGGUCAGAGACAAAAAUUGACUUUUAUAAAAAAUUUCAUGCAAAUCUACGUCAUUUUACAUAUCAAAAUCUUUUUUUAAUACCACACAUUACCAAAUUACAAGCUAAGAAUGGACAGGAAGGGAGUCCUGUGUUCAUCUUAUCAUAC